rnacentral:rRNA from 1 species
UACAGAGGGUGCAAGCGUUGUUCGGAAUUAUUGGGCGUAAAGCGCGUGUAGGCGGCUUUGCAAGUCGGGUGUGAAAGCCCUCAGCUCAACUGAGGAAGUGCGCCCGAAACUGCAGAGCUUGAGUGCCGGAGAGGGUGGCGGAAUUCCCCAAGUAGAGGUGAAAUUCGUAGAUAUGGGGAGGAACACCGGUGGCGAAGGCGGCCCCCUGGACGGUAACUGACGCUGAGACGCGAAAGCGUGGGUAGCAAACAGG